rnacentral:rRNA from 1 species
UACGUAGGGUGCGAGCGUUAAUCGGAAUUACUGGGCGUAAAGCGUGCGCAGGCGGUUCGUUGUGUCGGCGGUGAAAGCCCCGGGCUUAACCUGGGAACGGCCGUUGAAACUGGCGAACUGGAGUGUGGCAGAGGGGGGUGGAAUUCCGCGUGUAGCAGUGAAGUGCGUAGAGAUGCGGAGGAACACCGAUGGCGAAGGCAGCCCCCUGGGCUAACACUGACGCUCAGGCACGAAAGCGUGGGGAGCAAACAGG